CUGGGCUAUGGAGACAUGUAUCCCCAGACGUGGUCUGGAAUGCUGGUGGGAGCCUUGUGUGCUCUGGCUGGUGUGCUGACCAUUGCCAUGCCGGUGCCUGUCAUCGUGAACAAU
rfam:Mus musculus chromosome 7, GRC primary reference assembly.